CAGCAGCCGCGGUAAUACGAAGGGGGCUAGCGUUGUUCGGAUUUACUGGGCGUAAAGCGCACGUAGGCGGAUCGAUCAGUCAGGGGUGAAAUCCUGGAGCUCAACUCCAGAACUGCCUUUGAUACUGUCGAUCUCGAGUCCGGAAGAGGUGAGUGGAACUCCUAGUGUAGAGGUGGAAUUCGUAGAUAUUAGGAAGAACACCAGUGGCGAAGGCGGCUCACUGGUCCGGUACUGACGCUGAGGUGCGAAAGCGUGGGGAGCAAACAGGAUUAGAUACCCCAGUAGUCCCUGUCUCUUAACA
rnacentral:rRNA from 1 species